rnacentral:rRNA from 1 species
AUUGAACGCUGGCGGCAUGCCUAACACAUGCAAGUCGAACGGGGCGCUUCGGCGCCUAGUGGCGGACGGGUGAGUAAAGCGUAGGAAUCUGCCUUGUAGUGGGGGGACAACCUGGGGAAACUCAGGCUAAUACCGCAUACGCUCGCGAGAGGAAAGCGGGGGGAUCUUCGGACCUCGCGCCGCAAGAAGAGCCUACGUCCGAUUAGCUAGUUGGUAGGGUAAAAGCCUACCAAAGCGACGAUCGGUAGCUGGUCUGAGAGGAUGGAUCAGCCACACUGGGACUGAGACACGGCCCAGACUCCUACGGGAGGCAGCAGGUGGGGAAUAUUGGACAAUGGGCGCAAGCCUGAUCCAGCAAUGCCGCGCGGGUGAAGAAGGCCUGCGGGUUGUAAAGCCCUUUAAGUGGGGAGGAACGGCGGGAUGCGAACAGUGUUCUGCUCUGACGUUACCCACAGAAUAAGCACCGGCUAACUCCGUGCCAGCAGCCGCGUAAU